CCUACGGGGGGCAGCAGUAGGGAAUCUUCCACAAUGGACGAAAGUCUGAUGGAGCAACGCCGCGUGAGUGAAGAAGGUUUUCGGAUCGUAAAACUCUGUUGUUGGAGAAGAACGUAUUUGAUAGUAACUGAUCAGGUAGUGACGGUAUCCAACCAGAAAGCCACGGCUAACUACGUGCCAGCAGCCGCGGUAAUACGUAGGUGGCAAGCGUUGUCCGGAUUUAUUGGGCGUAAAGCGAGCGCAGGCGGUUUCUUAAGUCU
rnacentral:rRNA from 1 species